UGAGGAAUAUUGGUCAAUGGGCGGGAGCCUGAACCAGCCAAGUCGCGUGAAGGAAGAAGGAUCUAUGGUUCGUAAACUUCUUUUGCAGGGGACUAAAGUGCAGGACGUGUCCUGUUUUGUAUGUACCCUGAGAAUAAGGAUCGGCUAACUCCGUGCCAGCAGCCGCGGUAAUACGGAGGAUCCGAGCGUUAUCCGGAUUUAUUGGGUUUAAAGGGUGCGUAGGUGGUUUGAUAAGUCAGCGGUGAAAGUUUGCAGCUUAACUGUAAAAAUGCCGUUGAAACUGUCGGGCUUGAGUGUAAAUGAGGUAGGCGGAAUGCGUGGUGUAGCGGUGAAAUGCAUAGAUAUCACGCAGAACUCCGAUUGCGAAGGCAGCUUACUAAGCUACAACUGACACUGAAGCACGAAAGCGUGGGGAUCAAACA
rnacentral:rRNA from 1 species